UAGGGAAUCUUCCACAAUGGACGCAAGUCUGAUGGAGCAACGCCGCGUGAGUGAAGAAGAUCUUCGGAUCGUAAAACUCUGUUGUUAGAGAAGAACAAGAGUGAGAGUAACUGUUCAUUCGAUGACGGUAUCUAACCAGCAAGUCACGGCUAACUACGUGCCA
rnacentral:rRNA from 1 species